rnacentral:rRNA from 1 species
CAGUAGCCGCGGUAAAACGUAGGUGGCAAGCGUUGUCCGGAAUUAUUGGGCGUAAAGCGCGCGCAGGUGGUUUAAUAAGUCUGAUGUGAAAGCCCACGGCUCAACCGUGGAGGGUCAUUGGAAACUGUUAAACUUGAGUGCAGGAGAGAAAAGUGGAAUUCCUGGUGUAGCGGUGAAAUGCGUAGAGAUUAGGAGGAACACCAGUGGCGAAGGCGGCUUUCUGGACUGCAACUGACGCUGAGGCUCGAAAGCCAGGGGAGCAAAUGGGAUUAGAUACCCGCGUAGUCCCUGUCUCUUAUAC